rnacentral:snoRNA from 10 species
UGCCUCUGACCUGGGUAGAGUGGCAUCUGGCUGUGACAUUCAUCUCAUAUCAGCCAGGGACAAAGCAACCCCUUGUUUAUUUCAGCUUGGCCUUUUGUCUGUGCCCAUGCCUGGUUCAUGCCUUGGACACACUA